rnacentral:lncRNA from 1 species
GCCCGGGUUUGCGGGAACAAAGCAGCGCCCUGCGGAAGGCAGCCCUCGUGAACUCAGAAGUUAGUUUUCGUCUCUGGACCUUUUUAUAAUCGGACUUCAGCCCAUCACUGUCUCGUUUUGUCCUCAGAAACGGCGACAGCAGCCUCUUCCCAAUGUUGAGAGCAAAAAGUGUGAACCCAGAAAUUCCGAGACAGAUCUCAAUUACUUGCCAAGGUUGAGGACGCGCGCGUGACAGCCUCAGGAAGUCCUCACGACAUGUGCCCAAGGUGGUCUGGGCAUAGCUUAGUUUUAUACAUUUUAUGGAGACAUGAGACAUCAAUAAAUGUAUGUAAGAAGUACAUUGGUUCUGUUUGGAAAGGCGGGGCAACUUGAAGCAAAGGCAGGAAGACGUGAAGCAGGAAGGGGGCUUCCAAGAAACAGAAGAGACAAGUGAACAUUUAUUUUUAUGUCUUUCUUCCUAUGUGUAUUUCAAGUCUUUUUCAAAACAAGGCCCCAGGACUCUCCAGAUUCAAUUAUGUCCUUGGGCUUGGUCGACUGCUGCAGGAGUCUUAAGGAGCCUUGUGCAAAUGCUAGAGUGACUCAUUUACCAACAUUAAACCCUAGGAUAGAUGCAACAGAGAAGUACUACUUCCUCCAUGGAAUGUGCUGAUUUCAGGCGACGUGGCACCCAAUGUAGAAAACGCUGGAAUUUUUCCUUGGAACUGGACUGUGAUGAGAGGUGCUUGCCAUGAACAUAAGCUACUGUCUUUUUUUUCUUUUUUUGAGACGGACUUUCACUUUUUUUGCCCAGGCUGGAGUGUAAUGGCGCGAUCUUGGCUCACCGCAACCUCCGCCUCCCAGGUUUGAGUGAUUCUCCUACCUUAGCCUCCUGAGUAGCUGGGAUUACAGGCGUGCGCCACCAUUCCCAGCUAAUUUUUGUAUUUUUAGUAGACACAGUGUUUCUCCAUGUUGGUCAGGCUGGUCUCAAACUCCUGACCUCAGGUGAUACGCCCGCCUCAGCCUCCCAAAGUGUUGGGAUUACUGGCGUGAGGCAUCGUGCCCAGCAAGCUACUGUCUUUUCUUUGACCCUUUCCAGUUUUUGAAGAUAAAGCAGGAAAUAAUCUUCUCUGAAAGUACUUGAUAAAAAUUCCCAAAACAACAAAAA